GCCCUUAUAGCUCAGUUGGUAGAGCGCGACACUAGUAUCACUACCAGCAAUGUCGAGGUCAGAGGUUCGAAUCCUCUUGAGGGCA